UAUAAACCACUUUGUCAAUGCUUAAUAUUAAUUAAUAUUGUCUGAUCCUGGAAACUAAGCAAGAUUGGACCUGUUUAGUACUUGGAUGGGACACCGCUGAGAAAAUCAGUGAUAC
rnacentral:rRNA from 1 species